rnacentral:rRNA from 1 species
UGCAGUCGAGCGGCAGCACAGAGGAACUUGUUCCUUGGGUGGCAAGCGGCGGAGGGUGAGUAAUGCCUGGGAAAUUGCCCUGAUGUGGGGGAUAACCAUUGGAAACGAUGGCUAAUACCGCAUGAUGCCUACGGGCCAAAGAGGGGGACCUUCGGGCCUCUCGCGUCAGGAUAUGCCCAGGUGGGAUUAGCUAGUUGGUGAGGUAAUGGCUCACCAAGGCGACGAUCCCUAGCUGGUCUGAGAGGAUGAUCAGCCACACUGGAACUGAGACACGGUCCAGACUCCUACGGGAGGCAGCAGUGGGGAAUAUUGCACAAUGGGCGCAAGCCUGAUGCAGCCAUGCCGCGUGUAUGAAGAAGGCCUUCGGGUUGUAAAGUACUUUCAGUCGUGAGGAAGGUUGUAGUGUGAAUAGCACUAUGAUUUGACGUUAGCGACAGAAGAAGCACCGGCUAACUCCGUGCCGCAGCCGCGGUAAUACGGAGGGUGCGAGCGUUAAUCGGAAUUACUGGGCGUAAAGCGCAUGCAGGUGGUUUGUUAAGUCAGAUGUGAAAGCCCUGGGCUC